AGAGCACGCUGUAAUCGAAAAAAAUUACAUGUGCUAUUUUGAAAAGUGAAUUUCAUAUGUUAGCUUCGUUUGUAUCACCUGACAUGUACAACUCAACAUGUGUUAAACUUGCCAUGUCAUAAGACAAUUACAUAGCCUUUAUAUAGAAUAAGGCAAGACAUAUUAACCCAGUAGCAUGGUGAAACAAUUAAAGGUGGUCUCAUUUGUACAACAAUCACAAAUCGUAUGGUGCAACCCGCCAUCUUGUCAACAAGCUGAUCGACGUUUUGCCAACACCCAAAGAAAUUUGUGUGCGUGUGUGUAUAUGAACGAGAAUAUGCGAGAAAGAAGAUGACAACAAAGAGAAUGCAAAUAAAAAGCUGGCAUCUUAAUACCGUCAAACCUGACCGGCUGUUAUAAGCUGUUCGCGUGAGACCAAUUUGAAUCUAUGGAUGUGGAUGUUGCGUUGAAAUAGUGUAAUGCAGAAAAAUAGAACUAAUAAAUUCCAAACGCAACAAAUUGGAGUAUAUUAUUAUAUUGACUUGGGCGCUGAGGAUGGAAGAUAACACAUGUGGAUCAAGAUUUCGUGGUAUUGUACGCAAAAUGCUAAGAUUGACGGUAUCGGCUACAACAAAGAGAGGCUCAAAAUGGAAUGGGAAAUUUUUCGUUUUUUAGAACUCUGGGACCAGUAUGAAAAAAUAUAAAUAUUUUUAAGCAAUAUAUUUCAUGUUUUAUUCGCAAUU